rnacentral:rRNA from 1 species
AUUGAACGCUGGCGGCAGGCCUAACACAUGCAAGUCGAGCGGGUGAAGGGUGCUUGCUCCUGGACUCAGCGGCGGACGGGUGAGUAAUGCCUAGGAAUCGGCCUGGUAGUGGGGGAUAACGUCCGGAAACGGGCGCUAAUACCGCAUACGUCCGGAGGGAGAAAGUGGGGGUUCUUCGGACCUCACGCUAUCAGAUGAGCCUAGGUCGGAUUAGCUAGUUGGUGGGGUAAAGGCCUACCAAGCCGAAGAUCCGUAACUGGUCUGAGAGUGUGAUCAGUCCACCAGGAAUGGAGACACGGUCCAGACACCCACGGAAGGCAGCCAGCGGGAAUAUUGGACAAUGGGCGAAAGCCUGAUCCAGCCAUGCAGCGUGUGUGCAGAAGGUCUUCGGAUUGUAAAGCACUUUGCGUUGGGAGGAAGAGAAGUCAGCUAAUACCUUGCUGUUUUAACGUUACCAAAAGAAUAAGCACCGGCUAACUCCGUG